AGAAUCAACGCUGGCGGCGUGCCUAACACAUGCAAGUCGAACGAGAAAGUGGGAGCAAUCCCACGAGUAAAGUGGCGCACGGGUGAGUAACACGUGACUAACCUACCCUUGAGUGGGGGAUAACCUAGGGAAACCUGGGCUAAUACCGCAUAAUACCUACGGGUCAAAGGAGCAAUUCGCUUUAGGAGGGGGUCGCGGCAGAUUAGUUAGUUGGCGGGGUAAUGGCCCACCAAGACAGUGAUCUGUAUCCGGCCUGAGAGGGGCGCACGGACACACUGGAACUGAAACACGGUCCAGACUCCUACGGGAGGCAGCAGUGGGGAAUUUUGCGCAAUGGGGGAAACCCUGACGCAGCAACGCCGCGUGGAGGAUGAAGCCCCUUGGGGCGUAAACUCCUUUCGAUCGGGAAGAUAAUGACGGUACCGGAAGAAGAAGCCCCGGCUAACUUCGUGCCAGCAGCCGC
rnacentral:rRNA from 1 species